rnacentral:rRNA from 1 species
UGGGGAAUCUUAGACAAUGGGCGCAAGCCUGAUCUAGCCAUGCCGCGUGAUCGAUGAAGGCCUUAGGGUUGUAAAGAUCUUUCAGUGGGGAAGAUAAUGACUGUACCCACAGAAGAAGCCCCGGCUAACUUCGUGCCAGCAGCCGCGGUAAUACGAAGGGGGCUAGCGUUGCUCGGAAUCACUGGGCGUAAAGGGUGCGUAGGCGGGUUUUUAAGUCAGAGGUGAAAUCCUGGAGCUCAACUCCAGAAC